rnacentral:rRNA from 1 species
UACGUAGGGGGCAAGCGUUGUCCGGAAUUAUUGGGCGUAAAGAGCGUGUAGGCGGCCAGGUAGGUCUGCUGUGAAAACUCGAGGCUUAACCUCGAGCUGUCGGCGGAAACCAUCUGGCUAGAGUCCGGAAGAGGAGAAUGGAAUUCCCGGUGUAGCGGUGAAAUGCGCAGAUAUCGGGAAGAACACCCGUGGCGAAGGCGGUUCUCUGGGACGGUACUGACGCUGAGGCACGAAAGCGUGGGGAGCAAACAGG